CCUACGGGAGGCAGCAGUAGGGAAUCUUCCACAAUGGGCGAAAGCCUGAUGGAGCAACGCCGCGUGGGUGAAGAAGGUCUUCGGAUCGUAAAACCCUGUUGUUAGAGAAGAAAGUGCGUGAGAGUAACUGUUCACGUUUCGACGGUAUCUAACCAGAAAGCCACGGCUAACGACGUGCCAGCAGCCGCGGUAAUACGUAGGUGGCAAGCGUUAUCCGGAUUGAUUGGGCGUAAAGGGAACGCAGGCGGUCUUUUAAGUCUGAUGUGAAAGCCUUCGGCUUAACCGGAGUAGUGCAUUGGAAACUGGGAGACUUGAGUGCAGGAGAGGAGAGUGGAACUCCAUGUGUAGCGGUGAAAUGCGUAGAUAUAUGGAAGAACACCAGUGGCGAAAGCGGCUCUCUGGUCUGUAACUGACGCUGAGGUUCGAAAGCGUGGGUAGCAAACAGGAUUAGAUACCCGAGUAGUC
rnacentral:rRNA from 1 species